ACAAUGACGGAAGAACGUGUGUCAGGCCUGUGCUCCUUCGUUCCUGUCAGUUUGACGUGAGCAGAAUCCCGUGGGACGGCAGCCCCUCAACUGAGAAAAUGCUGCCAUCAGAUUGGCGUGUAGGCAAGCCUGUGGUCCAUUUCCUAGGUUAGUCAUUGACGUGGGAGGGCCCAGCCCACUGUGGGUGUUGCCAGCCCUGGGCAGGUGGUCCCGGGUUGUAAAAAAACCUCAAGCUGAGCAAGUCAUGGCGAGCAAGCCAAUAAGGAGCCUUCUUCCACGGUUUCUGCUUCAGUUCCUGCGUCCUGCCUUGAGUUCCUACCUUGAAUUUCUUCAGUUGAUGGACUGUAAUCCAAAUAACACCCCUCGCACCCCACCUCAGAGACACAGAGAGAAACAAAAAAGGGGGAGCAGACCAGGUUUAUCAGGAGUACCAUCGCUUUGUGGGGUUGCGAUUCAGCAUAUGAAGUUUGUGGGCAGUUGACGGACAUCUAGGUUGAUUCAUUUUCGUUCCUGUGGUGACCAGAGCAGCAAUGAAUAUGGGGUACCCUACCAGCAGGGGGUGCUAUGGAGCCAGCCAGCCUUCCAGGAAACACUGAAUUCUGAUCUGGAUUGUUGAGAAUGCUUGACUACUCUUAUCAUCCUCCCUCCCGCUCCCUCCUCCCGGAAGACACGGCGGAGAAGACACAGCGGAGAAGACACGGCGGAGAGCCCUCCCAAGCGUUCUGUGCACAUCUUAGGAAGAAAAGAACUGUUGUGUUUUUGGUCAUCUUUCUGCAAGGAUGAGAACAGUUUAAAGCCGAAGAGACCUUAUCUCCAAUUUCCAGUUUAAUAAGGAAGAGGCUUAUUCUGUGGAAGGGGAAGCCAGAAUCAAGUCUCUUGGCCCUUGUCUUAUAGCGUCUCACAUGGUGAGCAGCUAGUCUGCUCAGGACCAGGAUGUAAGUGUGUGUGUGUGUGUGUGUGUGUGUGUGUGUGUGUGUGUGUGUGUGUGUGUGUUGCUUGUGCGUGUGCGUGUGUCUGUAUGUGCCUAUG